GGUAUUUGCUGCACCAUACAGCCUGAGGUUUCCUCGGAUUGACAGGGUGAGAUAUGACAAAGCUUGGUACGAAUGCCUUGAUGUGCAAUAUUCUCCUUACAAGAUGGAGCAAGAAACAAAGAUGUUGGAACAAGUUCUCGGGAUGAAACUCACACAAGAGACCAAGAAACUAAGGUAGGCUUCUACUUGUCUUGUAUAUUCAUAUUCUAAGUAGUAAAAAUAGCAUUUAUUAGAUGAUUUAAAUACAUUAUUAGAUGUUAACAUAGUUUAGGGAACUGGAUGGUAGAUUUGACUAAUUAGUAUUUAUUGCAAAUUUGCAAUGCUUGUAUUUUGGUAAGUUUAGUAAGACAAGGUUUUGUAUAGGAGUUAUUACUUUUGAUUUUCAA